CAUGACGGAAACAUUUUUUAAUGUCAUACCCCUACAUAUAUUUCAAUUGUAAAAUGCAAAUUCCCACAAUCUGAGAUCUUACGAAACCCAGUACUUGCUUAAUUGCCUGUGUAAUCAAAUUAAAAUCUUAAAAUGUAAUCCAGUUCUGCCUGUUUUUAUGACAUAAAUAAGGUGAAUACCCACUCCACUCUAGCUUCUUUAGCCCUGUUUGUGUGGCAGGUCUCAUCUGCGGCCCUUAUUGGGCUGGUGUGGCUCGUUUCCAAUGACACCAGCAGCACUUGGGACCAGUGUGCCAGCUCAAUAAAAGCCCUCAGAGCUCAGCUCCUGUGUGGCUCUCUUCCCUCAGACACCUGUUUUCUUCUUCUUCUUUUUUUUUUUUACACAAUGUUCUUUUCUUGUUGCCCUUUUAUUUUGCACUAAACAACAUUACACACUAAAUUUCUUCAAGCAUGCUCUAAUUUACACCUCUGAUUAUGCUACACAUCAGGGCUAUCUGAAGUUCUUUCCUUGUUUCUUUCAUUUAAAGUAAAUAAACAUUUAAUAAUAAUGAGAGAUAAUGAGAGACAAUGUGGUCAUAAUAGACAUGGUCAGCAACAACACUCAGGGACUGUUGUAUUUUAAUGAUGGUGUGCCGACAACAUACCGCCCUCACCAUUACAUCACCAGCCCAGCUUGAACUGUUAAUACAAGGCAGAGUUAAACUUUUUUUUCUUUUUAAUUUGUAUGCUUGUCCCUUUUCAUCAUGGCCAUGCAGCUUAUUUUGUGACAACAUUCAGUUUUUGUUCUUUGGCUGUGGUUUUAAUUCAAUUACAUGUUUAGCCACUGAGGGUCAUGGUUUUUUUGGGGUUAUUUUGGAUUUCCUAGCUAAUCUGCAUAUUUUGUUACUUUUGAGCCCUAGUUUUGUUUAGGAAUACAUUUUGCUGUCUUUUGGUUUUUAUGAUUAUUCUAGUUUUCUGAAUUUGGUUAGAGGGAUUAUUCUGUUUUGAUUUCAUUCAGGCUUGGGCAUUUUAUUUUUGUAUUUCUUUAGUUUGGCCCACAUUGUGUCUGCUUGCAUUUUUUUUUUUGUUAAGUUGGUGUCUGCUUUCCUGUUACUACUUGUUUUUUUUUAGUAGUCUUUUGUCUGUUUUACCUUUGCGCUGCUUUUCUGUCCUCCAUCUAAUUGAUUGGUUUUACCUGUACCUUGUCUUAUUCCCCUGAUUAACCCUCAGUGUGUCUCUCCUGUGUACUUUCUCAGUGUUUCUGUUAAUCUCCCCUUAGUUGUUCCUGUCUGGUUAAAGUUUUGUUGGAAAGUAUUUUGCUUUGGCCUCAUGGACUUUGUAUUUUUAGAAUGCAUGCUAAGGCAGCCUGCCUGUCUUUGACCCCGCUCCACUAGACUACAUUAUCUUCUAUAAAAACAGAAAUAUUCAAUAAUUAAUAUGAUUUGUUUAUUAAGAGUCAAAUGAUGGGAUGAAGCAGUAGCUUCAGGAUAAAGCUAACUAUAACUACACUACAUUGUUGUUUAAUUUUGGAAGCUUUUAGACUGGCGAUUGUUAAACUUUCUGGCAAAGAAGCACAUCAGUCCGUCAUUGGCUUACUAAGGUCUGGUUUUAAAGUCUGGGCUGUAGCAGGAAGUCAAAGAGCACAUGUAGGCACAAGUUCCAAACUCCACACAGGAAGGCGUCAGCUGGAAGAAUCUGGAUUCGAGCCCAGUAUCUUCUUGCUGUGAGGUGAGUGUGCUAACCACUGUGCCACCCAAGAUGGCAAAUAUAUUAAUUUUAAUUUAAUAAUUGCAACAUUCA
ensembl:lncRNA